rnacentral:rRNA from 1 species
AUUGAACGAUGGCGGCAGGCCUAACACAUGCAAGUCGAGCGGAGCGGCUGACGGGUGAGUAAUGCCUAGGAAUCUGCCUGGUAGUGGGGGAUAACGUCCGGAAACGGGCGCUAAUACCGCAUACUCUCAGAUGAGCCUAGGACGGAUUCGCCAGUUGGUGGGGUAAAGGCAUACCAAGGCGACGAUCCGUAACUGGUCUGAGAGGAUGAUCAGUCACACUGAAACAGAGACACGGUCCAGACUCCUACGAUAGGCAGCAGUGGGGAAUAUUGGACAAUGGGCGAAAGCCUGAUCCAGCCAUGCCGCAUGUGUGAAGAAGGUCUUCGGAUUGUAAAGCACUUUAAGUUGGGAGGCAUUGCCAACAGAAUAAGCGCCGGCUAGCUUCGUGCCAGCCGCCGCGGUAAAAC